GACGAACGCUGGCGGCGUGCCUAAUACAUGCAAGUCGAGCGAAGUUUUUCUGGUGCUUGCACUAGAAAACUUAGCGGCGAACGGGUGAGUAACACGUAAAGAACCUGCCUCAUAGACUGGGACAACUAUUGGAAACGAUAGCUAAUACCGGAUAACAGCAUUAACUGCAUGGUUGAUGUUUGAAAGUUGGUUUUGCUAACACUAUGAGAUGGCUUUGCGGUGCAUUAGCUAGUUGGUGGGGUAAAGGCCUACCAAGGCGACGAUGCAUAGCCGACCUGAGAGGGUGAUCGGCCACACUGGGACUGAGACACGGCCCAG
rnacentral:rRNA from 1 species